rnacentral:rRNA from 1 species
GUGCCAGCAGCCGUCGGUAAUACGUAGGUGGUCAAGCGGUUAUCCGGAAUUAUUGGGCGUAAAGCGCGCGGCAGGUGGUUUCUUAAGUCUGAUGUGAAAGCCCACGGCUCAACCGUGGAGGGUCAUUGGAAACUGGGAGACUUGAGUGCAGAAGAGGAAAGUGGAAUUCCAUGUGUAGCGGUUGAAAUGCGUAGAGAUAUGGAGGAACACCAGUGGCGAAGGUCGACUUUCUGGUCUGUAACUGACACUGAGGCGCGAAAGCGUGGGGAGCAAACAGGAUUAGAUACCCUGGUAGUCC